UACAGAGGGUGCGAGCGUUAAUCGGAAUUACUGGGCGUAAAGCGUGCGUAGACGGUAGCGUAAGUCAGAUGUGAAAGCCCCGGGCUCAACCUGGGAACUGCAUUUGAGACUGCUCUGCUCGGGUGCGGAAGAGGGAAGCGGAAUUUCCGGUGUAGCGGUGAAAUUCGUAGAUAUUCGCAAGAACACCAGUGGCGAAGGCGGCUCACUGGCCCGGUACUGACGCUGAGGUGCGAAAGCGUGGGGAGCAAACAGG
rnacentral:rRNA from 1 species